UGGGGCGGGGCGGAGCGCGGCGCGGCGCGGCGGGGGCCGCUGAGGCGGCUGCCGGAGCUGAGUGACCCGGCGUGCGCCCGGCUCCCCCGCUGCACGGUGAUAACUACCAUGGAUUCGUGAGGCUGCCAGCAGAAAACAGCUUAGAUUCCAUUAUCUGUCUCUGCCAGCCUGCAGUAACUUGGAUGUCUGCAAACUUGAACGUAUUUGAGCUGCUGCUGUGGCCUGAAAUGGUGACUCAUUCUCCAUUUUGUGAUUUUUCAGGAAUUUCCAUACAAUUAGAAAAGGUGCACUGGUGAAAACCCCAUCUUCAAUUGUAUGAGGUACUGAUGGAAAUGAGUGAAGGGCUCACAGUGUAUGCAUGCACAACUCUUCUCCAUUCUCAGGCUCAAUCUGUUAAGUCAGACAUUGUGUGACUUGUCAAGUCACUAGACUGCUAAUAACUGGCUUGUUACCAUCCAUUUCCUCUCAAUGUAGGUUACACUUUUAUCUGGGGUAGUUUUUCCUGGUUGUCUGCUUAUACCCACAGGAGCAGGUUUAUGAUGAAUCAAAAUUCAUCUGCUUUUAAAAUGGAUUAAAAAUAGGUUCGCCAGUUUAAUUAAGUUUACAAGUCUCCUGAAAUUAAACCAGUACGUAUUUCUUAAAUCAAGUGGCCAGUAAAAGUACUGAAAGCCCAAAGGUGUGGUCAGGAUGUAUAAAUAGGAGACGGCGCAGUAAGUGACUGUACAUAAGCACAGUGACUGUACAUAAGCACAGUAGCGCUUAUGAAAACCAGUGUUAAGUGUACACAGGAGAUCUAUACAUCAAAAAUUUGCUUAGCAAAUGAGUAUUGUUUUUAUGGAAUGAUACAGCUGAAUUGGACUUUUAACAAAUGUUUCUACCUGGAAAUUUAAUUAAUAUGUACUAGUAGACUAUGACUCAAUUUGCUAUUGCACAAAAAUACAGAAUAUUCAUUUGUAUUGAAAAAAAAAUCAGAAUCUAUCCAGUAUUACUUUAAGAGUUGCACAUUUUAUUAAUUUCAGAGAAGACUCCAUGCUUCCUUCACUUACUUCCCUUGAUCCUGGACUUGAUUUGAAUACCACCACCUCCAGAGUUUUUGUAAUGAAGAGCUAGACAUACGAUUCUGCAACUAGUCCUGUAUAUGAAAAAGUUUUUGUAUACAUUUUUCUAACACUAUGGCAUUAAACUGGGUGUCUCCAUUAAAAAAACCACACCCAGAAGGAAAUUUUAUUGCUUUGUGACUUCAGAAGAUAAAAAGUAAUCUUCCCACCAGAGGGAGAAAGUGGCAAGUCAUGAUUUAUGCGACAGAUUUCAAAACUUGAAAAAUUACCUACUUUUAAUUACAGUUUUAAAGUACACUUGUGGGUGGGUAAUCUGUAAAACAUGAAUUCAUAUUUCUUCCCACUCACCUCUUCUUAAUUGAGCCAUUUUAUAUAUAUAAACACACAGAAUAAGGAAGUAUAAUAGAAUAAUUUAAUAAAACAUGAUGUACACUGAUUCACGUUGGACUCCUUUCAAGUCAAGAAGUUAUGACAUACAUAAGAAUGUAUGUAAACUUGUUGCUGAAGCUGGCUUUGGGCUUGUGCUUCUACGUAGGGAUUGAGACGUGGUAAAGAACUGAAUCUUGGUGGACUUUUGUACUAAUUCCUUUAUUAUAAAAAUCUUUUUCAAAUAUUUACAUGCUUAUAAUAAUUCCUAUAACAUCCAACUCAAAUCAUUGCUUACAACAGUUUAAAGGUAUUUCCCUUACAAUCUGCACGCCUGGUCCCUUUGGACCGCACCAUAGGGUUUAAUAUUGCAAUGAAUUCCUCCCCUUGCCCCUGCUCCAGUUAGGACUUGCCCACAGACUGCAGUCCUUUAGGGGUGUACCUGCCCCAAGGGGAGCCUUAUCUAUAAGCCAGUGCCUCCAGGGGAAUACCUGCUGCAGAUUGACUUAUCCAUAGCUGCAGUUGCUUGGAGGUGCACCUCUUCCAGCAUGGCCUUGUCCAUGGGUCACAAUGCCUUUAGAGAUGUUCCUGCUCCAGCACGGCCCUAUAACCCAUAGCCCCUUCAGAAAUAAACCUGCUCCAGCAUGGCCUUAGCCACAGAUGUACCCGCUCUGUUGUAGCCUUAUCCUUGGGUGCAUGCUUUGAGGUGCUCCAGCAUGACCUCCUGCACAGCCACUGAUGCUCCAAGGUGUACCUCCUCCAGCGUGGACUCAUCCCUGAGCUGCAUCACUUCAGAGGUAUACCUGCUGUAGCCCAGAAAUAACGAGGGCCAUAGAUGCUUCAAGAUGUGUACCUGCUCUGGCAUGGACUUAUCUAUAGCCACAGAUGGUUCAGGGUGUCCUGCUCCUAUGUGGACUGAUCGACAGGUCACAGUGCCUUUGCCUUGAGUUCACACUGGAGUUUCAGCCUGUCCAGUAAGCACAGAAACAGCACAGAAACAGCAGCCAUGCCCUGGCCAUCUGCCAGCCCAGGCGCAUUGCCAUUGCUGUUAUCAAAAUGUUCCCAGGCACAGCAGAGUCAGAUGAUAAGCAGGACACCAAGCAGCGAAAGCAAAAAGCAGCCACUAAUGAGCGCAACACUGAUACACAGUAAGGCAAGCAAGCCCCAUGGCAAGCACAGCAUGCUGUCAGUUAAUAGCUAAACAGCAGUAACAGCUAUAAAUUCCAUCUAGCACAUCCCAGCCACA